CCUACGGGUGGCAGCAGUGGGGAAUAUUGCACAAUGGGGGGAACCCUGAUGCAGCGACGCCGCGUGAGUGAAGAAGGAAUUCGGUAUGUAAAGCUCUAUCAGCAGGGAAGAAAAUGACGGUACCUGAGUAAGAAGCACCGGCUAACGACGUGCCAGCAGCCGCGGUAAUACGGAGGGGGCAAGCGUUAUCCGGAUUUACUGGGUGUAAAGGGGGCGUAGACGGCUGUGCAAGUCUGGAGUGAAAGGCGGGGGCUCAACCCCCGGACUGCGCUGGAAACUGUACGGCUGGAGUGCAGGAGAGGUAAGCGGAAUUCGUAGUGUAGCGGUGAAAUGCGUAGAUAUUAGGAGGAACACCAGUGGCGAAGGCGGCUUACUGGACUGUAACUGACGUUGAGGCUCGAAAGCGUGGGGAGCAAACAGGAUUAGAUACCCGAGUAGUC
rnacentral:rRNA from 1 species